UGCCUAUACAUGCAGUCGAACGAACUCUGGUAUUGAUUGGUGCUUGCAUCAUGAUUUACAUUUGAGUGAGUGGCGAACUGGUGAGUAACACGUGGGAAACCUGCCCAGAAGCGGGGGAUAACACCUGGAAACAGAUGCUAAUACCGCAUAACAACUUGGACCGCAUGGUCCGAGUUUGAAAGAUGGCUUCGGCUAUCACUUUUGGAUGGUCCCGCGGCGUAUUAGCUAGAUGGUGAGGUAACGGCUCACCAUGGCAAUGAUACGUAGCCGACCUGAGAGGGUAAUCGGCCACAUUGGGACUGAGACACGGCCCAAACUCCUACGGGAGGCAGCAGUAGGGAAUCUUCCACAAUGGACGAAAGUCUGAUGGAGCAACGCCGCGUGAGUGAAGAAGGGUUUCGGCUCGUAAAACUCUGUUGUUAAAGAAGAACAUAUCUGAGAGUAACUGUUCAGGUAUUGACGGUAUUUAACCAGAAAGCCACGGCUAACUACGUGCCAGCAGCCGCGGUAAUACGUAGGUGGCAAGCGUUGUCCGGAUUUAUUGGGCGUAAAGCGAGCGCAGGCGGUUUUUUAAGUCUGAUGUGAAAGCCUUCGGCUCAACCGAAGAAGUGCAUCGGAAACUGGGAAACUUGAGUGCAGAAGAGGACAGUGGAACUCCAUGUGUAGCGGUGAAAUGCGUAGAUAUAUGGAAGAACACCAGUGGCGAAGGCGGCUGUCUGGUCUGUAACUGACGCUGAGGCUCGAAAGUAUGGGUAGCAAACAGGAUUAGAUACCCUGGUAGUCCAUACCGUAAACGAUGAAUGCUAAGUGUUGGAGGGUUUCCGCCCUUCAGUGCUGCAGCUAACGCAUUAAGCAUUCCGCCUGGGGAGUACGGCCGCAAGGCUGAAACUCAAAGGAAUUGACGGGGGCCCGCACAAGCGGUGGAGCAUGUGGUUUAAUUCGAAGCUACGCGAAGAACCUUACCAGGUCUUGACAUACUAUGCAAAUCUAAGAGAUUAGACGUUCCCUUCGGGGACAUGGAUACAGGUGGUGCAUGGUUGUCGUCAGCUCGUGUCGUGAGAUGUUGGGGUUAAGUCCCGCAACGAGCGCAACCCUUAUUAUCAGUUGCCAGCAUUAAGUUGGGCACUCUGGUGAGACUGCCGGUGACAAACCCGAGGAAAGAGGGGGGAAUAAAAUUCAAAUACUUCAUGGCCCCUUAUAACCUGGGGGUACACACGUG
rnacentral:rRNA from 2 species